AAAAUAAAUUCACUUUUACUUGUCACUUUUAGCACAUCAAGAAAAGAUAAUUUCUUUUUUCCUGUUUUACCCAUAGUAUUAAUUACUCAUUUCAAAUCAUUUUCAAGUCCAUUAAAAUUAUAUGCACUAAUUAAUAUGGGUAUCAUGAUAAAUUCUACAUUUCAUUCAUUAUUUCUUAAGGGGUGUGCAAAAGCCAAAGUGGACAAGUAAAAGUGAACGGAGGGAGUAGUAAAACUAUUUUUUCUCCGCGAUAUAUACUGCAUGUAAGCAGUUUCAGGAUGUUGAGAUCAUUUGCAUUUUUCGUGUGAAGUUGCAAAACACAGGAGAUUACUCUUCCUAAGCCAUGUUAAACAUGAAACUCUAAUCUGCCAAGAUAUCAUAAUUUCUACUCAUUAACUGGAUUGAGCGCUUCUCAGUCUUUUACAAUGCUGAGAAGGAAAAGGUUGAAGACGAUGUCCACUCUAUUUAACUAGGGGUAUAGAUGCGCCAUUUGUAGUUAUUUUUGCAGGUUUUACCUACUUAGAAUAUGAACAUAUAAUUUAAUUUAUUGUGGUUUAAUUUACAUGCAUAGCUUUCAAUUGUGGGGAGCUUAUCUGAAAUUAAAACCUAAGGUUGACUAGCAAAAUUAAGCUCAUUUUCUUUUGAAUUUUUACCCUCACCAUUUUUUCGAGAGAGUAUUAACUCACUUCUAAUGCUAUUUGGAUCUAGCAAGGCCAGUAGUUUGUAUCUCUAAUGAUUUUGACCAUCCAACGAGCAACUGAUACAAUUACCAAUCUUGCUCAUGUAUAUAGAAUUACCUAAAUCAUGACAGGUUAGUUUUUUUUUUCUUCUCUGAAAAUCUUGUUAAUUACAGCUUUUACUGAAAGAAGACUUCAUUUUUUCUUGCGCCAACAAUAUUUUGUGAAUAUAGGAGUGAGGGUGGUAUCCUCCCCUUAUUGAGUUGCUUGAGUUUUUCGAUGGUGUAGAUAGUAGUUGUAGGAGCCUUGUGAACUUCGGCAUUUAAGAAUGAUGAGAACAAAUCUGGUUAAUCUGUAUGGUUAUUGUUUUGCAUAUUUUACCUUGUUUGAACUGAUUACAUAUGGCCUUCCCACACUUGCACUCAAUAUUUUUUAUCUCAAAUAUCUGUAUGGUUACUGUUUUACAUAUUUUACCUUGUCUAAAUUGAUCACAGAUGCUCUUCCCGCACUUGUAAUAAUGCUAAGGUCUGAUGGUAUAGAUAUAUGCUAUGAAACGGUUAGACAUUAUUUAACAAGUAGGUCUAAGUUGCACCUAUGCCCUCCCAUCUUCUCUGUUAGUGAAUUAAAAGUUCUUAAUUACUUUGAUGGAUACUUUUGCCUCUGCAAGUUGAAACACUACAUUUUUACAUAGCUAUAAAAUUAUUAAGUAUACAUAGGAUAGUAAGAUGGACAUUCAUUUGCAAUGCAAUGGACAAUUUCCAUACUUCUAGGAAGGUUGCCUAUCUUUUAUAUCUGAACUGAUUAUGAUUUACCCUCAUAUGUCAUCAUCAAUUCGAAGUGCAGGAUAGGUGAGGCUUCUGGUGUCAUUGUAUUAAAGGGAACUGGAGUAUGCAACAAAGCGAGGAACUAAGAUAUAUGCAGAGCUACGUGGCUAUGAUGAAGACUUUUUGAACAAUUGUGAUGUUUGAAUUUUACAUUUGGUAUAGCUUACAUAACAUUUCCACACUUUAAAAGUGUGGCCAUAAGGAUGUCAAUUGUGUGGCUUAUUGAUUGUAAAUUGUGGCAUGUACAUUAGCAAAGACUACACUUUGCAAAUGUUGCUUUAGAUGAGGUAGCAACAGCCACGCUUGGAAAAUGUUGUUUUAUAUCAUGAAAAGCGUUUCCAUGCGAGGUGCUACAAGCAUAGCCUUUGUACCUUAUAGGCCAUGCUUUUGAAGUGUGGCUGAUAAAGCCACGCUUGAAAAGCGUGGCCUUUCAAGCGUGGCCUUAGGCCAAAGGUUACACUAGUUUAGGCCACCCCCAUAAAAGCGUUGUCUAAAGUCGGAAAGUGUGACCUUUGAUCGAAGACUACACUUUUUUGAUAGUUUAGGCCACACUUUUUCGGGGUGGCUAAGGCCUAAAAUGUUGUAGUGUGUUUAAGGGUUUGAAUGUAGUUUUGAUUCGAAUUAGAAGUACUUUGAAGGUGAAUUUGAUUGUAGAAUGUAGUUUAUGGUUGUUUAAGUUUAUGAUGUUUAAGUGUUUGAA